rnacentral:misc_RNA from 1 species
GAUGAAGAACGCAGCGAAAUGCGAUACUUGGUGUGAAUUGCAGAAUCCCGUGAACCAUCGAGUCUUUGAACGCAAGUUGCGCCCGAAGCCAUUAGGCCGAGGGCACGCCUGCCUGGGUGUCACACGUCGUUGCCCCCCCAUCUACUCCUUCGGGAUUGUGGGGGGCGGAUGAUGGCCUCCCGUGCGCCUCGUCGCGCGGUUGGCAUAAAUGCCAAGUCCUCGGCGACGCACGCCACGACAAUCGGUGGUUGCGAAACCUCGGUUGCCCGUCGUGUGCGGUCGUCGCGCAUCGAGGGCUCGAAAAAAUUGCCGGGCUCCGGCUCGGCUUUCAACGCGACCCCAGGUCAGGCGGGGUUACCCGCUGAAUUUAAGCAUAUCAAUAAGCGGAGGA